GACGAACGUUGGCGGCGUGCUUAAUACAUGCAAGUCAACUGAAGCAGUGGUAGCAAUAUCGCUGUGGAGGUGGCGCACGGGUGAGUAACACGUAGGUAAUCUGCCUUCAGGUCUGGCAUAACUCCGGGAAACCGGGGCUAAUAGCAGAUGAUGCAGCGGCUCGACAUCGAGACAGUUGUUAAAGCUAUGGCGCCUGAAGAUGAGCCUGCGUCUGAUUAGCUAGUUGGCGGGGUAACGGCCCACCAAGGCAACGAUCAGUAGCUGGUCUGAGAGGAUGAUCAGCCACACUGGAACUGAGACACGGUCCAGACUCCUACGGGGGGCGGCAGUAAGGAAUAUUGCUCAAUGGGAGAAAUCCUGAAGCAGCAACGCCGCGUGAGGGACGAAGGGCUUUUGCUUGUAAACCUCUGUAGUGAGAGAAAAAAAUCCCAAUCUUUGGGACAUGAUGGUAUCUCAAAAGUAAGCCCCGGCUAACUACGUG
rnacentral:rRNA from 1 species